rnacentral:rRNA from 1 species
GGCGAUCAGAUACCGCCCUAGUUCUGACCGUAAACGAUGCCAACUAGCGAUCCGCUGAUGGAAAUUAUAUUGCCUUGGUGGGGAGCUUCCCGGAAACGAAAGUCUUCCGGUUCCGGGGGAAGUAUGGUUGCAAAGCUGAAACUUAAAGGAAUUGACGGAAGGGCACCACCAGGAGUGGAGCCUGCGGCUUAAUUUGACUCAACACGGGGAAACUCACCCGGCCCGGACACUGUGAGGAUUGACAGAUUGAUAGCUUUUUCAUGAUUCAGUGGAUGGUGGUGCAUGGCCGUUCUUAGUUCGUGGAGUGAUUUGUCUGGUUUAUUCCGAUAACGAGCGAGACUCUAACCUACUAAAUAGCUGGUACAUACUCUUUGUGUAUACAGCUUCUUAGAGGGAUUUGCGGCGUUCAGCCGAAAGAAAUUGAGCAAUAACAGGUCUGUGAUGCCCUUAGAUGUCCGGGGCUGCACGCGCGCUACACUGGCAAAAUCAACGUGCUUGUCCUACCCUGAAAGGGGCGGGUAAACCAUUGAAAAUUUGCCGUGAUUGGGAUCGGAAAUUGCAAUUAUUUUCCGUGAACGAGGAAUUCCAAGUAAGUGCGAGUCAUCAGCUCGCGUUGAUUACGUCCCUGCCCUUUGUA